rnacentral:rRNA from 1 species
GCAAGUCGAGCGCACUCUUCGGAGUGAGCGGCAGACGGGUGAGUAACACGUGGGAAUCUACCUAUCUCUGCGGAACAACAGUUAGAAAUGACUGCUAAUACCGCAUAAGCCCUUAGGGGGAAAGAUUUAUCGGUGAUAGAUGAGCCCGCGUUUGAUUAGCUAGUUGGUGAGGUAAUGGCUCACCAAGGCGACGAUCAAUAGCUGGUCUGAGAGGAUGAUC